rnacentral:tRNA from 3 species
UCCGAAUUGGUGUAGUGGACAACAUGUGGGAUUCUCAUUCCCGAGCCCGGGGUUCGAUUCCCCGAUUCGGAG